UACGUCUCCGAGCUUGAGACGUUGUCGUCGGAAUUUCGGUGCCUCUGAAAAUCCUCGCUACAACUACAAGGGAUCCAGCUCGACUUUCGGCCAAGAAGGCGUUUUUUGUCGACCUUUACGUGAAAAGUUGGUACUUGGAUCGCGAGAGAAGCCUUCCCAGGCGAUCAGCGAAGCGUUUGAGCUUCUUUCCAAACUCGGUCCCGGCUGCUGUAAGGAUGCUCAAGAGAAGCCCCGACCUCUUUUUGGAGUUCUUUUGAAGCGGACCUGACCAGAUAUACGGGCGAGGUUCUACCCGUUGUUUUGCUUCAAUCUCGACAUAGCGACGAAGGGGAAGCGCUGCAAAUUCUCAGAAACGGCACAGAGUCCCUGUUAACAGGAGGAUCUGAGGGUAAACUGACGUUCGUCUACCAGAGGCUGGGAUUGAUCAAUGCUUUACGCGCCAUUUGUGACGCUUGUUGCAGGUGUUAUCAGCUCAUUGCUUAUUCACUGUACAAAGACGACGACAGGAAACGAGGAAGUCCGAGUGGCAAUUCUAUUAUCUCUGGGUUCGUCACUUAGAAAAGCCGAGCGUAACUUGCCAG